GGUUUUGAAGUAAUGGGUAGCUGAGAUUUAAGAGCAAUUAAUUGAAUUCAAUCAAGCAUGAUUCGAGUUGUGUGAUCUGAAAUCAAAAAACCCGAUCAAAAAGAGAUGAUUAACGUCCAUGAAACUUCAGUGCAUACAUUUAAUUAAGUUUAAAGAGAUGUACAAGUUCUUUGUCUAAUCGAAAAUACAACGUGGUGUGUUUAGAUCAAUUUGCAUUUGGGUAUUCAACAGAUUAUCAUGUCGAUUGGUUGACCUCUGUGUAAUUUCUCGGAAACUGACUUCAAGUGAAUCAUAUCAUUCCCGAGGUAUCAGGCAAGGUGUGUUACUGCAUUCCUUUAAUGGCCAGAUUUCUUUGCCAAGUUAUCUCUCCUGCGGCCCUGUGCAAAGCUAGGCUAAACUAAACUCACACCCAACUACUUU
rnacentral:lncRNA from 1 species